rnacentral:lncRNA from 1 species
GUUAAGUCUUCCCUACCACAAAUAUCUCAAUUGUUGCUUCAAAACAGAAAAGGAGAAACCAACUUGAGUCAAUGAAUCUUACUGAAAAUCACCUUGUUUUCUCAGGAGGACCAUAUUUGAAGAGAUUCUGAGACCUCUCAGGGAGAUAUCACUGCUAUGACUUAGGAAAGAUGGCAAUAUAGGCUCAAAUUUACUUUCUGAUCCAAGACAAAUUUCAAAAUAGCUGGAGUCAAAUUGAGAGAUUUGAUUUUACAAGGGUUCAAAUGGUAACAGGUUUGGAGGAAAUGAAAAAUUCAUAGAAAAAGUUGGCUUCAACCACUCUUAGUUAAUUUUUUUUUUUUGGUGACAGGGUCUCCUGUUGUCAAAGUUGGUCUUUAACUCCUGGGCUCAAGCAAUCCUCUAUCUCAGGCUCCCAAUAGAUGGAACUAUAGGCUUGCACCAAUAGACCUGGCUCCCAGCCAUUCUUAAUUGUGUGGUGUUUGUUUUGUUUUGGUUUUUGAGUACUGGGGAUUGUACCCAGGGAUGUUCUACCACUGAACUACAUCCCCAGUCCUUUUUACUUUUUAAUUUUUUUGAGACAGGGUCUCAUUAAGUUGUCCCAUGGCCUUGUAUUUGUGUUCUUCCUGCUUCAGCCUUCCUGGCAGCUGGGAUUACUGACAUGUACCACCAGGUCCAGCUUCUUUAUUGUCUUUUGCAUUAUGGGAGACACCUGAGAAAAUGUCAAGUGUCAUUACAGAAAUAGCUGGAAAACAAAAGAGAAGCUAGGGGAAGGAAGUGUCAAUAUCUGAUUCACAUUUAGAGAUCCCUUUUUAAAGCUAUUAGAGAAGUAGACGAUAUAUAAUUAAUUACAUUCCCUAUAAAAUACUGUUCCUUAUAAAGUAGUGUUAAGUCAAACUAACUCUCUUAGAAAAAUUCUUACAAAGGUACAAAUAUCUACUUUUUAUUACACAGGUAGGGAUACAUUGUUAGAGUCUGUAAACAAGUCAGGAUGGUGCCUGGCAAAUGUUAGUCUGUAAACAAGUCUGGAUGGCGCCUGGCAAAAUGCCAGAGGGAGUGGUUUGUGAAGUAACGCCAGCAAGCCAUUAAGUGUGGAGAUUCCUUAUUGGUUGACUGCUGUAUCUAGUUUAUGUUAAUUAGAUAAGCUGUGUGGAAUGUAUAAAUACCUCUGUUGUCCUACAAUAAACGGAUCCCAUUCCUGCUGUAUCAAUCUACACAAGUUGUUCAUCACCCCCCGGCUAUUUUGCUGCAGCCAGACUGCGG